rnacentral:rRNA from 1 species
CCUACGGGUGGCAGCAGUGGGGAAUAUUGCACAAUGGGGGAAACCCUGAUGCAGCGACGCCGCGUGAGUGAAGAAGUAUCUCGGUACGUAAAGCUCUAUCAGCAGGGAAGAAAAUGACGGUACCUGACUACGAAGCCCCGGCUAACUACGUGCCAGCAGCCGCGGUAAUACGGAAGGUCCGGGCGUUAUCCGGAUUUAUUGGGUUUAAAGGGAGCGUAGGCCGGCUUUUAAGUCAGCUGUGAAAGUCCGCGGCUCAACCGUGGAAUUGCAGUUGAAACUGGAGGCCUUGAGUGCACACAGGGAUGCCGGAAUUCAUGGUGUAGCGGGGAAAUGCGUAGAUAUUAGGAGGAACACCGGUGGCGAAGGCGGCUUACUGGACCGUAACUGACGUUGAGGCUCGAAAGCGUGGGGAGCAAACAGGAUUAGAUACCCUAGUAGUC